UACGAACCGUGCGAGCGUUGUUCGGAAUCACUGGGCCUAAAGGGCGCGUAGGCGGCUUGUCAAGUCAGGGGUGAAAUCCGGCAGCUUAACUGUCGAAGUGCCUUUGAUACUGAUGAGCUCGAGGGAGGUAGGGGUAUGCGGAACUUCCGGUGGAGCGGUGAAAUGCGUUGAUAUCGGAAGGAACGCCGGUGGCGAAAGCGGCGUACUGGACCUCUUCUGACGCUGAGGCACGAAAGCUAGGGGAGCAAACGGG
rnacentral:rRNA from 1 species